rnacentral:rRNA from 1 species
GACAGAGGUGCCAAGCGUUAGGCGGAAUCACUGGCUUAAAGCGUGUGUAGGCGGAAUGGUAAGUACCUUGUGAAAUCCCACAGCUCAACUGUGGAACUGCUCGGUAUACUGCUUUUCUUGAGCCACUUAGGGCUGUCGGAACAAACGGUGGAGCGGUGAAAUGCGUAGAUAUCGUUUGGAACGCCAAUGUGAAACAGACAGCUGGGAGUGAUGCUGACGCUGAGACACG